CCUACGGGACGCACCAGUGGGGAAUAUUGCACAAUGGGCGCAAGCCUGAUGCAGCCAUGCCGCGUGUAUGAAGAAGGCCUUCGGGUUGUAAAGUACUUUCAGCGGGGAGGAAGGUGUUGUGGUUAAUAACCGCAGCAAUUGACGUUACCCGCGGAAGAAGCACCGGCUAACUCCGUGCCAGCAGCCGCGGUAAUACGGAGGGUGCAAGCGUUAAUCGGAAUUACUGGGCGUAAAGCGCACGCAGGCGGUCUGUCAAGUCGGAUGUGAAAUCCCCGGGCUCAACCCGGGAACUGCACCCGAAACUGGCAGGCUUGAGUCUUGUAGAGGGGGGUAGAAUUCCAGGUGUAGCGGUGAAAUGCGUAGAGAUCUGGAGGAAUACCGGUGGCGAAGGCGGCCCCCUGGACAAAGACUGACGCUCAGGUGCGAAAGCGUGGGGAGCAAACAGGAUUAGAUACCCCUGUAGUC
rnacentral:rRNA from 1 species